rnacentral:misc_RNA from 1 species
AACGCACAUUGCGCCCAUUAGUAUUCUAGUGGGCAUGCCUGUUCGAGCGUCAUUUCAACCCUCAAGCCCUGUCGCUUGGCGUUGGGAGCCUGCGGAGACGCAGCUCCUCAAAGUUAGUGGCGGAGUUGGCACAGACUCUAGGCGUAGUAAUUACCACCUCGCUUCUGCAGUCGUGCCGGCGCCCUGCCGUAAAACACCCCAAUUAUCAAUGGUUGACCUCGGAUCAGGUAGGAAUACCCGCUGAACUUAA